AGGUAUGACGUUGAUGAGGCUUCAU
rnacentral:piRNA from 1 species